AAGCAGUGGGAGCACCCUUUGGGUGUGACUGCGUACCUUUUGUAUAAUGGGUCAGCGACUUAUAUUCUGUAGCAAGGUUAACCGAAUAGGGGAGCCGGAGGGAAACCGAGUCUUAACCGGGCGUUAAGUUGCAGGGUAUAGACCCGAAACCCGGUGAUCUAGCCAUGGGCAGGUUGAAGGUUGGGUAACACUAACUGGAGGACCGAACCGACUAAUGUUGAAAAAUUAGCGGAUGACCUGUGGCUGGGGGUGAAAGGCCAAUCAAACCGGGAGAUAGCUGGUUCUCCCCGAAAGCUAUUUAGGUAGCGCCUCGUGAAUUCAUCUCCGGGGGUAGAGCACUGUUUCGGCUAGGGGGCCAUCCCGGCUUACCAACCCGAUGCAAACUGCGAAUACCGGAGAAUGUUAUCACGGGAGACACACGGCGGGUGCUAACGUCCGUCGUGAAGAGGGAAACAACCCAGACCGCCAGCUAAGGUCCCAAAGUCAUGGUUAAGUGGGAAACGAUGUGGGAAGGCCCAGACAGCCAGGAUGUUGGCUUAGAAGCAGCCAUCAUUUAAAGAAAGCGUAAUAGCUCACUGGUCGAGUCGGCCUGCGCGGAAGAUGUAACGGGGCUAAACCAUGCACCGAAGCUGCGGCAGCGACACUGUGUGUUGUUGGGUAGGGGAGCGUUCUGUAAGCCUGUGAAGGUGUGUCGUGAGGC
rnacentral:rRNA from 2 species